AGUGAACGCUGGCGGUAGGCCUAACACAUGCAAGUCGAACGGCAGCACAGUAAGAGCUUGCUCUUACGGGUGGCGAGUGGCGGACGGGUGAGGAAUACAUCGGAAUCUACUUUUUCGUGGGGGAUAACGUAGGGAAACUUACGCUAAUACCGCAUACGACCUACGGGUGAAAGCAGGGGAUCUUCGGACCUUGCGCGAUUGAAUGAGCCGAUGUCGGAUUAGCUAGUUGGCGGGGUAAAGGCCCACCAAGGCGACGAUCCGUAGCUGGUCUGAGAGGAUGAGCAGCCACACUGGAACAGAGACGCGGUCGAGACUCCGACGGGAGGCAGCAGUGGGGAAUGUUGCACAAUGGGCUGAAGCGUGAUGCAUCCAUGCGGCGUGAAUGAAGAAGGCCUUCGUGUUGUAAAGUACUUCCAGCGGGGAGGAAGGGAGUAAAGUUAAUGCCUUUGCUCAUGGACGUUGCCCGAAGAGGAAGCACCGGCUAACUCCGUG
rnacentral:rRNA from 1 species